UAUUAAGUAUAUUUGCAAAUAUAGGAGGAACACAAUUUCACAAAAAGGCACAGCAGCCCAGUGUGGUUAAAGUGUCUUCAAUGAGUGAACAGGAACACUGAGCUUAGAUACAUCUUCAGAGUGACAGCACACACGCACUUGGCUUAUUAUGACUCUACAAUUCUCACAGGCAAUCUGAUACACAUGAAGACAAUCAAAAAACACAAAAGACAUCUUGGAGCCAUUUCAGCCUCCUCCUCCCUGUACGACUUUCACCCCCCCAGUUGCAUCUCAACUGGCAUGGGAAAACUGAAUGUAUCAGGAGAGAUAGUUUUAGGAUGAGAAAAAAAUUUAAAGAAUCAGGUC